rnacentral:lncRNA from 10 species
CUCCGCCCCUCUGCCCCUCCGCCCCUCCGCCUGUCCGCCUCUCUCCUUCUCCCUUGUUCCCUCUCUCCCUCCCUGCUCCCCCACCUCCCUCCCGAGUCGUAGACUCCCUUCCCCCCGGCGCUGGGAGUCUCCUUCCCGCCCCGCCGCGCAGGUGCGGCGACGGCCGCGUCACUGGAGAGUGUGUCGAGUCACAGGCGGUCUUCCGCGCGGAGCGUCCCCGGCGGACGCUGCGCAGAUGGCUGCGACUGUAGGAUUCUUGCCGGCUAGUCUUCGUCGGUUCCGCCUGCGUCAGGUUACUCGUGAAAACUCGAAUAAGUGCUAUCGAUGUGAAAUCCGAGGAAAAGAGCAUUUGGGGGAAAAGUUAAAAGGACUUCUGACUCAAACUCCUCCUCUUGAGUUUGCAGUUUGCCACUUCCAGCCUGGCGACUAGGUGCUGAUUAAGACUUGGAAAGAAGACAAGCUCCACCCAAGCUGAGAAGGUCCCUGUCAAGUGCUGCUGACCCCUGAGAUGGCCAUAUGUACAGCUGAAUGGGGGUGGACUCACUAUACUUGUCAAGGGACUGGUAAAAGAGACCCUGGAAGGGUGGGAAAAAGACCAGUGGAAAGUACAUGGGUCACCUGAGGAACCCUUAAAAUUAACUCUGAGAUGAAUCUAAAAAGAAAACAUGGGCUGGUCCCAUUUCUGGAAAUUAAUAUGGCUGGGAUGGGCUACUAUGCAAAGAGAAGAAGGUCAAAGUAGAAACUAUCAGGGGACUCCUCCCUACCCACUCAGGUUGGUAAUUAAUGUAAACAAGAUGGUGGCACCCAAGACUAUAAGAUUUGAUGACUGCCAAGGUUUUUACCUUGUAAGAAUUUGGAAAAUCAGAGACAGCUCUCACAUGUGGAUAAAUAUCCACUUCAUAUGAGGUGCUUGGAAUAGUCAAAUUAGAGGUUUCUAGGGGCUAGGGAGAAAAUAAAUGGGGAGUUAUUGUUUAAUAGGUACAGAGUUUCUCUUUCAAAGAAUGAAAAGUUCUGUAAAUGGAUAGUGGUGAUGAUUGCACAACAGUGUGUACUUAAUGCCACCGAACUGUACACUUAAGAAUGGUAAAUUUUAGGUUAUAUUUUACCACAAUAAAAAAUUAAAAUCAACAGUAAAGAAAUCAAUCCAAUUAAAAAUGGGCAAAAGAUUUCAAGACACAUUUCAAUGAAGAGGAUUUACAUAUGGCAAACAAAUGGAAAGUUGUUUAACAUUUCUAGCUAAUAGGGAAAUGCAAAUUAAGACCAUGAGAUAUUAUAACACAUUUAUUAGAGAACCACUAAAAUAAAAAAUGGUGACAACAUUAAUGCUGGCAAAGAUGCAGACAAACUGAUUUCUCAUACAUUGCAAGUGGAAAUGCAAAAUGGUUUAACCACUCUGGAGAAUUGUUUGGAAGUUUCUUAAAAAUUAAACAUGCAGCUAUCAUAUGAUCAAACUGUUGAACUACUAGGUAUUUAUUCCAGAGAAAUGAAAACUUAUGUUCACACAAAUACAUAUACACAAAUGUCCAAAGCAGCUUUAUCUGCAAUAGCCAACAACCAAAAACAAUCAAAAUUGUCAUCAGUAGGUGAAUGGCUAAACAAACUAUGGUCAUCAGUAUGCUGAAUGGCUAAACAAACUGUGGUACAUUCUUACUGUGGAAUAUUACUUAGCAAUAAAAAGAAAGAAACUAUUGAUGGACACAACUUGGAUGGAUUUCAAGGGCAUUUUUAUGCCAAGUGAAGAAAACUAAUCUCAAAAGUCACAUACUAUGUGAUUCCAUUUGUACGACAUUCUCAAUAUGAGGAAAUUUUAGAGAUGAAGAACAGAUUAGUGGUUGCCAAGGGCUAGGUAUAGAUGGGAGAGGCAGAGGGAUGAGUAGAACUUUUAAUAAAGGGGUAGAAUGAGGGUAAUUCUUGUGGUGAUAGAAUAGUUCUGUACCUUGAUUGCGACUGUUGCAUGACUCCAUGUGUGGUAAAGUGGCAUGGAAUUAUACAUAUGUUGUAUCAAUAUCAAUUUCCUGAUUGUGAUAUUAUGCUAUAGUUAUGUAAGAGGUAACAUUGAGGUAUAACUGAGUGAAGAGUACAGAGGAUUUCUCUGUAUUAUCUUUGCAACUUCGUGUGACUGUAUAAUGAUUUCAAAAUUAAAAAGUUUAAAACAUUUAAGUCUUUA